rnacentral:rRNA from 1 species
UCCACGCCGUAAACGAUGUCUACUCGGAGUUUGGUGUCUUGAACACUGGGCUCUCAAGCUAACGCAUUAAGUAGACCGCCUGGGGAGUACGGCCGCAAGGUUAAAACUCAAAUGAAUUGACGGGGGCCCGCACAAGCGGUGGAGCAUGUGGUUUAAUUCGAUGCAACGCGAAGAACCUUACCUACUCUUGACAUCCACAGAACUUUCCAGAGAUGGAUUGGUGCCUUCGGGAACUGUGAGACAGGUGCUGCAUGGCUGUCGUCAGCUCGUGUUGUGAAAUGUUGGGUUAAGUCCCGCAACGAGCGCAACCCCUAUCCUUAUUUGCCAGCACGUAAUGGUGGGAACUCUAGGGAGACUGCCGGUGAUAAACCGGAGAAGUGGGACGACGUCAAGUCAUCAUGGCCCUUACGAGUAGGGCUACACACGUGCUACAAUGGCGAGUACAGAGG